AUGGCAGGCUCCUUGGAGGACACUAGCUGUGGCCGGCGGAUCCGACCAACACCGGCAGACGGAUCGAGACGGAGGGGUGGCGUCUUCAUGACGGACUACCUGGAGAAAACAUGUGAGAGAUUAGAGAGAGAAGGGAAAGGCAUGAUAGGAGAGGGGGGCGGGAGUCGGCUUGGCCUGCUUGCGCGGUUGGAGGAGGCCAGGGGCGGCCUCGGGUGCGCGCGCACGGGUGUGAUCUGCUGCUGUGGGGGGAGCUGCAGGCUGGCCAUGGCGGGCGUGAUCUGCUCCUGUGGAGGGAGCUGCAGGCUGGCCAUGGCGGGCGUGAUCUGCUCCUGUGGGGGGGAGCUGCAGGCUAGGCUUGGAGAGUUAAAGGCCGCCGCCCUGUGCUCUGCUGUUGUGGCCGCUCCUAUGGCGAAGAAAAUGAAGAGAAAGGGGGAUCUGGUUUUGGGGUAUGAGAAGGGCAUAGAAACGAGUAGUGGUGGGUAG
rnacentral:rRNA from 1 species